AAAGGACGAGGCUGAAGGUUAAGAUGGAACAAAUCGACCGUAAUUAACAGACUCACGGAGAUCCUUGAAUCCGUAGCAUUCGCCGAUAGAUUCACUGAAGCGUAACCACACAGGAUCCAGAGCGGAAGCAAGGUGAAAAAGCCAUCCAAGGGCAGAGAGAGUAUCUGCUGUGUCACAGACUUGGAAACGUGGCAGAAAGCUUUCAAGGUGUCAGGACCUGCAGACAUCUGACGUUCAUUUCACGACUAUAAGUG